GUGUUUUCCAGUAGAAAAGGUGUCUGAAAAAAGACUUAAAAGGGAAUUUGGUGUAAAUCCAAAACUGUCCCCGCAACUGUGAAUGCUGAUGAAAUAAGGAAUAGCCACUGUGAGUAACGAUCAUGGGAAGGCCUUAGAGUAAAGCGAAGCAUAAGUCAGGAGACCUGCCUUUUUUAUGACGUUUUA
rnacentral:ncRNA from 2 species